rnacentral:rRNA from 1 species
GGUUAAGUUAGAAAGGGCGCACGGUGGAUGCCUUGACACUAGGAGUCGAUGAAGGACGGGACUAACGCCGAUAUGCUUCGGGGAGCUGUAAGUAAGCUUUGAUCCGAAGAUUUCCGAAUGGGGAAACCCACCAUACGUAAUGGUAUGGUAUCCUUAUCUGAAUACAUAGGGUAAGGAAGACAGACCCAGGGAACUGAAACAUCUAAGUACCUGGAGGAAGAGAAAGCAAAUGCGAUUUCCUGAGUAGCGGCGAGCGAAACGGAACAUAGCCCAAACCAAGAGGCUUGCCUCUUGGGGUUGUAGGACAUUCUAUACGGAGUUACAAAGGAACGAGGUAGACGAAGCGACCUGGAAAGGUCCGUCGUAGAGGGUAACAACCCCGUAGUCGAAACUUCGUUCUCUCUUGAAUGUAUCCUGAGUACGGCGGAACACGUGAAAUUCCGUCGGAAUCUGGGAGGACCAUCUCCCAAGGCUAAAUACUCCCUAGUGAUCGAUAGUGAACCAGUACCGUGAGGGAAAGGUGAAAAGCACCCCGGAAGGGGAGUGAAAGAGAUCCUGAAACCGUGUGCCUACAAAUAGUCAGAGCCCGUUAACGGGUGAUGGCGUGCCUUUUGUAGAAUGAACCGGCGAGUUACGAUCCCGUGCGAGGUUAAGCUGAAGAGGCGGAGCCGCAGCGAAAGCGAGUCUGAAUAGGGCGUUUAGUACGUGGUCGUAGACCCGAAACCAGGUGAUCUACCCAUGUCCAGGGUGAAGUUCAGGUAACACUGAAUGGAGGCCCGAACCCACGCACGUUGAAAAGUGCGGGGAUGAGGUGUGGGUAGCGGAGAAAUUCCAAUCGAACCUGGAGAUAGCUGGUUCUCCCCGAAAUAGCUUUAGGGCUAGCCUUAAGUGUAAGAGUCUUGGAGGUAGAGCACUGAUUGGACUAGGGGUCCUCAUCGGAUUACCGAAUUCAGUCAAACUCCGAAUGCCAAUGACUUAUCCUUAGGAGUCAGACUGCGAGUGAUAAGAUCCGUAGUCAAAAGGGAAACAGCCCAGACCGCCAGCUAAGGUCCCAAAGUGUGUAUUAAGUGGAAAAGGAUGUGGAGUUGCUUAGACAACUAGGAUGUUGGCUUAGAAGCAGCCACCAUUUAAAGAGUGCGUAAUAGCUCACUAGUCGAGUGACUCUGCGCCGAAAAUGUACCGGGGCUAAAUACACCACCGAAGCUGCGGAUUGAUACCAAUGGUAUCAGUGGUAGGGGAGCGUUCUAAGGACAGUGAAGUCAGACCGUAAGGACUGGUGGAGUGCUUAGAAGUGAGAAUGCCGGUAUGAGUAGCGAAAGACGGGUGAGAAUCCCGUCCACCGAAUGCCUAAGGUUUCCUGAGGAAGGCUCGUCCGCUCAGGGUUAGUCAGGACCUAAGCCGAGGCCGACAGGCGUAGGCGAUGGACAACAGGUUGAUAUUCCUGUACCACCUCUUUAUCGUUUGAGCAAUGGAGGGACGCAGAAGGAUAGAAGAAGCGUGCGAUUGGUUGUGCACGUCCAAGCAGUUAGGCUGAUAAGUAGGCAAAUCCGCUUAUCGUGAAGGCUGAGCUGUGAUGGGGAAGCUCCUUAUGGAGCGAAGUCUUUGAUUCCCCGCUGCCAAGAAAAGCUUCUAGCGAGAUAAAAGGUGCCUGUACCGCAAACCGACACAGGUAGGCGAGGAGAGAAUCCUAAGGUGUGCGAGAGAACUCUGGUUAAGGAACUCGGCAAAAUGACCCCGUAACUUCGGGAGAAGGGGUGCUUUCUUAACGGAAAGCCGCAGUGAAUAGGCCCAAGCGACUGUUUAGCAAAAACACAGCUCUCUGCGAAGCCGUAAGGCGAAGUAUAGGGGGUGACACCUGCCCGGUGCUGGAAGGUUAAGGAGAGGGGUUAGCGUAAGCGAAGCUCUGAACUGAAGCCCCAGUAAACGGCGGCCGUAACUAUAACGGUCCUAAGGUAGCGAAAUUCCUUGUCGGGUAAGUUCCGACCCGCACGAAAGGUGUAACGAUUUGGGCACUGUCUCAACCAGAGACUCGGUGAAAUUAUAGUACCUGUGAAGAUGCAGGUUACCCGCGACAGGACGGAAAGACCCCGUGGAGCUUUACUGUAGCCUGAUAUUGAAUUUUGGUACAGUUUGUACAGGAUAGGCGGGAGCCUUUGAAACCGGAGCGCUAGCUUCGGUGGAGGCGCUGGUGGGAUACCGCCCUGACUGUAUUGAAAUUCUAACCUACGGGUCUUAUCGACCCGGGAGACAGUGUCAGGUGGGCAGUUUGACUGGGGCGGUCGCCUCCUAAAGUGUAACGGAGGCGCCCAAAGGUUCCCUCAGAAUGGUUGGAAAUCAUUCGUAGAGUGCAAAGGCAUAAGGGAGCUUGACUGCGAGACCUACAAGUCGAGCAGGGACGAAAGUCGGGCUUAGUGAUCCGGUGGUUCCGCAUGGAAGGGCCAUCGCUCAACGGAUAAAAGCUACCCCGGGGAUAACAGGCUUAUCUCCCCCAAGAGUCCACAUCGACGGGGAGGUUUGGCACCUCGAUGUCGGCUCAUCGCAUCCUGGGGCUGUAGUCGGUCCCAAGGGUUGGGCUGUUCGCCCAUUAAAGCGGUACGCGAGCUGGGUUCAGAACGUCGUGAGACAGUUCGGUCCCUAUCCGUCGUGGGCGUAGGAAAUUUGAGAGGAGCUGUCCUUAGUACGAGAGGACCGGGAUGGACGCACCGCUGGUGUACCAGUUGUUCUGCCAAGGGCAUAGCUGGGUAGCUAUGUGCGGAAGGGAUAAGUGCUGAAAGCAUCUAAGCAUGAAGCCCCCCUCAAGAUGAGAUUUCCCAUAGCGUAAGCUAGUAAGAUCCCUGAAAGAUGAUCAGGUUGAUAGGUUCGAGGUGGAAGCAUGGUGACAUGUGGAGCUGACGA